rnacentral:rRNA from 1 species
UACGGGGGGGAGCAAGCGUUGUUCGGAUUUACUGGGCGUAAAGGGCGCGUAGGCGGCCUGUGCAAGUCAGUUGUGAAAUCUCCGAGCUUAACUCGGAACGGUCAACUGAUACUGCUCGGCUAGAGUGCGGAAGGGGCAACUGGAAUUCUUGGUGUAGCGGUGAAAUGCGUAGAUAUCAAGAGGAACACCUGCGGCGAAGGCGGGUUGCUGGGCCGACACGUGACGCUGAGGCGCGAAAGCUAGGGGAGCGAACGGG